rnacentral:rRNA from 1 species
GACGAACGCUGGCGGCGUGCUUAACACAUGCAAGUCGAACGGAAAGGCCCUGCUUUUGUGUGGUGCUCGAGUGGCGAACGGGUGAGUAACACGUGAGUAACCUGCCCUUGACUUUGGGAUAACUUCUGGAAACUGGGGCUAAUACCGGAUAGGAGCUCCUGCUGCAUGUUGGGGGUUUGAAAGUUUCGGCGGUUGGGGAUGGACUCGCGGCUUAUCAGCUUGUUGGUGGGGUAGUGGCUUACCAAGGCUUUGACGGGUAGCCGGCCUGAGAGGGUGACCGGCCACACUGGGACUGAGAUAUGGCCCAGACUCCUACGGGAGGCAGCAGUGGGGAAUAUUGCACAAUGGGCGGAAGCCUGAUGCAGCAACGCCGCGUGAGGGAUGACGGCCUUCGGGUUGUAAACCGCUUUCGGCAGUGAAGAAGCGAAAGUGACGGUAAUGGGUGAAGAAGCACCGGCUAACUACGUG